rnacentral:lncRNA from 1 species
UUGGAGCAACAUGAGCAGUGAGCGACACGGAUUGGAAAGCUUGAUUUGAGCGGAAUGCUUAGAUAUUGAAGGGCUUUGACAGAGUUUCUUCUUAUCUAUUUAUUGUCUCUCAUUUUGUAAUCCAUAAAUGUUGUCUUUAUUGCUACUUAUAUUUUGUUCAAUAGCUAUGAACUGAGUAUUUGCUCCAAGGUUAUAAUGGAACCCUUUGUUAUUUAAAUUGACUGUCAUAUCUCUUUGGUUGGCACAAUAAGAUUUGGUUCAAUAUAUUUAUGCUUAAUGAUUCUCGCUAAGAC